UUACAAAAAAUGCCUUUUUUUGAUGGAAAAUAUUUCCUUUCCAUGGUCGUUCAAAAAAUCGUUAUUGAUUGUAUAUAAAUAAUCACAAAAUACGAAAAUGACAGAAAACGGAAUGAAAAAUUGUUAUCCAACAAAUUUACUUUAACAUUCUAAAUGUAUAUCAAAUCAAACAAAUUCCUUAUUUGAAGAUCGUACGCACAGCUUGGCUUCUAGAAAAUUCGAGACCAACGGGAAA